rnacentral:rRNA from 1 species
GAGGGUUUGAUCCUGGCUCAGGAUGAACGCUGGCGGCGUGCCUAAUACAUGCAAGUAGAACGCUGAAGCUUGGUGCUUGCACCGAGCGGAUGAGUUGCGAACGGGUGAGUAACGCGUAGGUAACCUGCCUCUUAGCGGGGGAUAACUAUUGGAAACGAUAGCUAAUACCGCAUAAAAGUCGACAUCGCAUGAUGUUGACUUGAAAGGUGCAAUUGCAUCACUAAGAGAUGGACCUGCGUUGUAUUAGCUAGUUGGUGAGGUAACGGCUCACCAAGGCGACGAUACAUAGCCGACCUGAGAGGGUGAUCGGCCACACUGGGACUGAGACACGGCCCAGACUCCUACGGGAGGCAGCAGUAGGGAAUCUUCGGCAAUGGGGGCAACCCUGACCGAGCAACGCCGCGUGAGUGAAGAAGGUUUUCGGAUCGUAAAGCUCUGUUGUAAGAGAAGAACGAGUGUGAGAGUGGAAAGUUCACACUGUGACGGUAACUUACCAGAAAGGGACGGCUAACUACGUGCCAGCAGCCGCGGUAAUACGUAGGUCCCGAGCGUUAUCCGGAUUUAUUGGGCGUAAAGCGAGCGCAGGCGGUUAGAUAAGUCUGAAGUUAAAGGCUGUGGCUUAACCAUAGUACGCUUUGGAAACUGUUUAACUUGAGUGCAGAAGGGGAGAGUGGAAUUCCAUGUGUAGCGGUGAAAUGCGUAGAUAUAUGGAGGAACACCGGUGGCGAAAGCGGCUCUCUGGUCUGUAACUGACGCUGAGGCUCGAAAGCGUGGGGAGCAAAC